rnacentral:lncRNA from 1 species
AUGUGCUGGCCUUUGUGGGACUUUGUGAUACUUUUCCUUCCGUUCAAUUAUCGCUGUGAGCAGCGAAACGCCGCGGCAAACGCAGCUCUGUCAUUCCGUUUGUUCCCUGGCAGCCGACGGGUCUUUAACCAAGUAAUUAAGGGCUGGUUUUGCUCGUACCUGAGAUCCAACCAGCGAGGCAGAGAUAAGACUGCAAUAUUUCUCAAAGCUCAGCAGGGAGCAAGUCCUCUCCUCACCCACCAAAAGCAUCACCUCACCAUGCCGGGGAUAAAACCCUCCUGGAGUGCCGAACGCCAGAGCUUCCACUGCAGGUGCUUUGCCCACCGUCUGCCACCCCCAGCAUGUCGCCGAGACGAAGUCCCUGCAGGUUUCCAGGUUUCAACAAGGACGGUAAGCACAGAGAGACCCCAACUGAUGUGUCCGUCCCUUCUCUGCUCCAAGGAUGACCUACUCAAAGCUGCACACAGAUUUAGAAAAUUUAUUUUAAUUUCUAUUCACGCUCUCUAGCCCUUUCUGAAAUUAUUAAUUUCUGCUUUUUUAAGGUUCUGGGCUUUAUUAUCCACUCAGUAAGACAGGACUAACAGUCUUUGGCCUGUGUAUUCAGACUGUGAACUCUUCCAUCUCGAGACCGUUCCUAGUUGGUCUGGCUGGGAAUUGGUGGUCUAAUUUUCAGAUGGGACCUACGCACACGCAGUUUUACAACGAGCAGUAAGGAAAGUCCCCACACGUCCCUCCUGACUCAGAUAGGCAGGACUGUUCACGCCACCCAGACAAAUGCAGGAAGCAGCUGCCACAGCCAACAUACCUUUCAAGAGCUGACAAAUCUUUCCUAGCGUGAAGGGGAUUGGAAGUCUAAACAUUUACUUUUGUGCACGCCCAAAUUAUUUAGCUCUCAGCAUGGGUCAAGCAAUAUGUUUCCUUUAGAUACUACGAUGUUUUAUUUUCUUUUUGACUCGUUAAACUUUAUUUGAACUUGCAUUAUAUAAAUUAAAUAAAUUCAAU